GACGAACGCUGGCGGCGUGCCUAACACAUGCAAGUCGAACGAGAUCCAUGGGAGCUUGCUCCCGGAAGAUCUAGUGGCGAACGGGUGAGUAACACGUGAGAAACCUGCCCUGGAGUGGGGAAUAACUCGGGGAAACUCGAGCUAAUACCGCAUACCCUCGGAUGGUCGCAUGGCCGACCGAGGAAAGAUUUAUCGCUCUAGGAGGGUCUCGCGGCCUAUCAGCUAGUUGGUGGGUAACGGCCUACCAAGGCAACGACGGUAGGCUGGUUGAGAGAACGAUCAGCCACACUGGGACUGAGACACGGCCCAGACUCCUACGGGAGGCAGCAGUGGGGAAUCUUGCGCAAUGGGUGAAAGCCUGACGCAGCAACGCCGCGUGCGGGAUGACGGCC
rnacentral:rRNA from 1 species